rnacentral:lncRNA from 1 species
AUUUUUAUUAGUUUUUAUUUUUCUUUUUUUGGUACUGGGGAUCAAACUUGGAUCCUUGCACUUGUAAGGCAGGCAGCAGAACCACUGAGCUAAAUCCCUAGCCCUAUUUUUCUUAUUUUUGAGACAAGGUCUCACUAUGUAGUUCAGAUUGGCCUUGAGUCCACUAUGUAGCUCAGGCUGGCCUCAAACUCACCACAAUCCUCUUGCCUCAGCCUCCCAAGUGCUGGGAUUACAUCAGGCUUCAUUAAUCUUAAAAGUAGGGAGUAAUGCAGAUAUUUUCAGAUUUAUCUUCAUGUAAAUUUGGGUUCAAAAUUUACACAUGCCAUAUAUGUAUGUGUGUGUGUGUGUGUGUGUGUGUGUGUGUCUAUGGUAGGUUUAAGGCAAAUACCCUGUGCAAAGGUCUAAGAAAUGGCUACAAUUUCAAAAUGCCAAGAAAUGUACAGAAGAAGCACACACAAAUGCAUGCCUGUCAAGCAACACAAUCACUACCAAGAUGGAGCAUUAGUAAGAUGAACACCAUACUACUGGGGCUCCCAAGGUCUCAUUUUCUUCACUAGAAAAAUGAGCAAGUCAUAGAAUCUGUACCUAUACUGAUAGGAAUAAACACACAGUGGAUUGCUUAGUAAAUGUAGACCAUUAUUUCUACUAAUUUCUGAUGUUAAUCCUCAUGCUUAUCAAUUAGGG